AAUCUCAUCAACUGGAAGGGAUUCCUUCCGGUCAAUGAGAUGUAACAACCUCAUUGAUUGGAAUGAAUCCCUUCCAAUUGAUGAGGUA
rnacentral:miRNA from 1 species